AAUAAAAAAAAAGUCUUGGGUAUGUGCAAAUUCAGACCACCUUUCCUGGGGUUUAGACAAAUUCGCCCUUUUAAUUAUUAUUUUUUUCUUUUUGGUUUUCAAUCAUGCACAUUUAUGUUCUUGUAUGCUAUUCCCAAAAUCUUGGGGGUAUGCUCAUCAAAUACAUAGAAAAUAAAUCUAGAAAUUUGGUUUCAAAAUUGCUACAGUAGCAUAUUUCAAAAUGUUUGAUUACAUUGGAUGAUUUUUUUUUUUUUUUUUUUGGCAAUGGAUUAGAUUGGAUGAUGAAUUGAUGAUAAACAAAAUAUUUCCAAAAGAUGUGCUAGAGAAAAAUGUGUUGAGAAAAAAAUAGAGGGCCCUACAAGUCAGACAUGUAAUUGCAUGUGCUCUACAAGUCAAACAUGUAAUUGCAUGUGCACAUAUGCAACUCGGUCUAUAGUGUGUUGCUUCUUAGCAACAUGCAUGUGUGGACUCUACGUUUGUAGUUGCCUCCAUAUUGGCCAAACCAAUUAACCAACCAAUAUCCAAAAUGUCAACGUUCAUUCAACCUUCUUUCUGAUUCCUACAAUGGAAUAUCGUUUACUUUUGCUCCUCCUUCUACUACUAUCCAUCUCUGUUUUUCUUCAACUAAAACCAUUAACAGCAACAACAGCAACAACAACUCAAACUACUUCCGCCUCUUCACCUUAUCUCUCUUCAUCACUCUUCUUACCUAACUACCAAAAAAUGCUACAAAACUUCAAGAUCUAUAUCUACAAUGAUAUGAUUAUUGACAAUCAAAUAACCUUCCCUUCCAAUAUUGAAUCACUUUUCCACUAUUCUCUUCUUGAAAGCUCUUUUAUAACAAAAAAACCCCAAUGAAGCUCAUUUCUUCUACUUAUAUUUUUCUCCUAGCUCUUCUUACAAAUUUAUUUCAAAUAAGAUUAAAGAUUUACAGAUUCAAUAUCCUUUUUGGAAUAGAACACUUGGUGCUGAUCAUUUUUAUAUUUCAUGUAACGGUAUUGGGUAUGAGUCAGAUCGGAAUAUAGUUGAGUUAAAGAAAAACUCAGUUCAAAUAUCAUGUUUUUCUCCUAUGAAAAAUGAUCGUUUUAUUCCUCAUAAAGAUAUCUCUUUACCACCUUUAAUAACUGUAGAUUUUCAAACGGAUACUGUCAACAUAGUACCAAUCUCGAAGAAGAAAUAUUUCGGUUAUUUCAACAACCGAGAUAUAGAUAAUCUUGAUCCUGUUAUUGAUUUUAUCGAGGAAUUGAGAAAUGAUCCUGAUUUUAUGACUGACACUGAACCGUAUGAUUAUGAUUGGGUUUCAAAUAUUAAGUUUUGUUUGUUUUUCUUCACUGAUAAAUUUGUUUCAAUUUCGGGUUUUGAAAAAGCAUUACGCUAUGGAUGUGUGCCGGUGGUGAUUACUGACCGUUCGAUUGUUAAUUUGCCGUUUGUUGAUGUGUUGAAAUGGAUGGAGAUUGCUGUGUUUGUUGAUAUAAAGGGUGGACUUAAGAAUUUGAAGCAAGUGGUAGGUCACAGGUGCGAAGGAGAGAAGUAUGAGAAGAUGAGAGAGUUGGGGAUGAAGGCCAGUAAGCAUUUUGUUUGGAACCAUUUUAGUCCACAGCCAUAUGAUGCCUUCUAUACUGUAUUGUAUCAGUUAUGGUUGAGGAGACAUACUAUUCGAUACACAAGAAGAGAGAUUAUCUAGAGAAAUAAAUAUGUAUUUCUUUCAUAUAUAUAAAACUAUAAAAGUACUGUAUUUUUUUUGCCUAGUGAUAUAUCUCUAUCUCUAGAGAAAUAUGUAUUUCUUCAUAUAUUUAUAUAAUAUAUAUAUAUAACUAUAAAAUUGUACAGUAUUAUGUACUGUAUUUCUUUGCCCAGUGAUGUAUCUCCAUUCUCACAAGGUUUCAGAAGCAUAGGUGAAAAAAUCGUUUAGGGGCGGAUAUCCGAUCUGCCAAAAACCGGAUUAUUCCACGGAUAUCCGACCUCCCGUGUCGGAUUUUUGAGGUUUGGCAAAUUCAAAAAAACCGGAAUUUUUCAUAGAUAUUCGCGAAAAAUUCGGCAAAUUGGGAGGUUUUCUGCACUUUCCGUGUUUUUUUUUCUGAUUUCGAUAUAUAAACUUAUAAUUAAAAGAAAAACAUACAUUACAAAUUAAACACACGACAAAUCAUACAAGGAAGCUAAGACGGAACUAUUACACAAGAUAGUUUUACUCAUAGGUGAAAAAAUCGUAAAUAUCGGGCGGAUAUUCAUAGAACUUUUAUAUGUUUACAAUACAAGAACUAAACACAAACAACCUCAUUACAACUCAACCCAUAGUUUUAUUUUAAUAAUCAAAAUAAAAGACAUGUUAACCCCAGAAUGAUAGACGCCCCUUGUCAAACCGAUGAGCUUCGAGUCGCAUGCGUGUGGGGACGAACUCAGUACAGUAAUAUUCCCAUGACAUUGUUUGCUCGUACGACCUGAAUUGGUCAAUAUGCAUAUCAUAUGCAUCUUGAUCCAUACAAUACGGAGCAAAUGAUUCAAAGAUAGGAAAUCUCGAGUAUUGUUGAACCGGCAUUAAUGUAUCGGCUGACUGCACGUCGGACCCACUUGUCAUUGGGGCCAACCAACUCCCUAUAUUAGGAAACCAAGAACCACUGUCAUCUGGUUGGGUUUGGUAGGAUGGUACACUGGAAUCAUCACUUUGGGAGGUUCCUAUGUUACCAUAAGAAAAAUGAGGGUAAACAUAGGUAGGUUGGAUGUUGGUUUGAGAAUAAGGGAGGUUCCACGAACCUUGGGAAGAAAACUGGUCAGGAAUGUUCCAUGAACCUUGGGAAGAUACCCUAGAUGAUUUUGUUUCCGUUUUAGGAUGCGGUCUUUUCUGUCGAGGUCGUUUUCCUUCUCUUGGUUGUUGCCAUCCAGCAUGGUCUUCAUCUUGGGUGGCAAAAAGAAAUUGAGACUCCCCCCGUAAAAUGAAUCGCUUCUGGGCGUGCUUUUUUUUCGUUUCUUUCUGAUAUAUUGCUCUUGGAGGGCCAUCAAGUUCGUCGCGAAAGUUUCCAAACGUCUAGUGCCUUUUGGACCUUUUUAUGAUAAUCUCAUCGAAAAUUCUAGUUCGGGGGGAUUAAAAAUAAAUGUGUUAAUUUUAUAAUCGAAAAUUUCAUAAAUUUCGAUAAAUAUCGGUUUUUGCCGAAUUAUGCCGCGAAUAUCCGAUAAAUGCCGACCGGCAUGGGGUGUUUUAAAAUCCGUUUAUAUGCCGUACCGUGCCGAUCUCAAAAAAAAACGGAAUAUAUCGCGAAUAUCCGGUCGGCAGAAACGAUUUUUUCACCUGUGUUCAGAAGUAUCCACAAUUCCACGUACAAUAGGAAAUUAUACAUAGAAAAGGUAUUACAUAUUACAAUUUUCAACAACGGUAAGAAAAAUUGCUCAACAAACCGACCGACCGACCAACCGACGCUAUUAGUUAUCUGAAAGAAUUGUUUCUCUCUCUCCUUUUCUCUUCUAUUCACUAUUCAGCAAGAAAAGAAUUGUUUCUCUCUCUCUCUCUUCUCAAAGAUUUGUUAUCGAGCAAUUUCUUCUCUCUUCUCGAUCGAUCGAAAAAGCAAUCUCUCUCUACCUUCUCAUCGAUUUGUUUCUCUCUCUACCUUCUCAACGAUUUGUUUCUCUCUCUUCUCGAUCGAUCGACAAAGCAAUCGUUUGUUCGAUUCAACAAUCUAAUAUCUCGCUCUUCAAAAUCAUGAAAUCGUUUGCCAUUGUUAAGUAAGUAUUAAUUCGAUUUUUGGAAUUCAAGUUGUUGUUGAUGUUGAUGAUCAUCAUCAUCUAUUCAAAAACCCUAACAAAUGAAUUACAAAUUGAUGUUGUGAUAGUGAUUCUUUAGGUUUUCUUAUUUAAUUUGCUAAACCCUAAAUCACACUGUGCGUUCUGUUGAUGAUCAUCAAUUCAAGUUGUUGUUGUUGUUGAUAUUAAUUUUACCAAUAUUAUUUGUAUGAUUUAUCAAUUACUACCGUAUAUCUUUAGUAGAAAUCGCUUUAGUAUUAUUGUCCUGAAUUUUGAUGAAUAUAUAAAGACUAUAGUAAUUGGGAUUCAGUUAUAGCAAAUCACCAUCACAAACAAACCCCUAACCAUUUAGAUAAACCUUACUUACAAACUUCUCUUACACUUUCUUUGUUUUGGUAUGAUCUCUAAUUCUACUACCCUUUAAAACAAGCAAUCCUUAAUCCUAGGUAUACAUAUAAAUAAAUAAAAGAUAUGUUGCUUCGUUUCCUCAGUUUUGUUUAUUUCCUGGUAAGUAAUAUAUUUUCAACGGAAUUAGUGUGUAAAAUAUGAUGGAUAAGGGCAUCCCUAAUGGACCAUCAAAUCUGGUAUCAAACUCAAAUUUGGUAAAAAAACAACAAAACUCAUCUCUAAUGGACCAUCAAAUUUGAGUUGGUAGCAAAUUUUUAUCAAAUUUUCACCAAAUUUGGUGAAAAUUUGGUGUUUUUGGAGAAAUUUGAUACCACACUUGAGCGGGCAAGAGCGAACCGCUCAAAUUAAGUGGCUCAUGAACACCCGCUUUGGGCGGUCCUUCAUUACCCGCUCAAGUCUAGGCGGUUCUUCAUUGCCCGCUCAAGUUCAACCGUUACAUUGAGCGGCCCCCCAUUGCCCGCUCAAAUUAUAACAUAUUAGUUUGAUUGCAAUUAGUGAACAAAGUAGUUGGGAUUCAUCAGAACAAGAGAACAAAACUUUUUGAUGAAGAUAAAGUUGGGAUUUUUAGCAAUAUCAAAAUUUAAUUACAAAGCAAUACCAAAGAAGUUGAAAAAAAUAAGAUUUUUUAGCAACAACUCAAAAUUUAACAAUUUCAAAGUGCAACAAUAAAGAAUUUUGCAUUUACAUUACUCAAACUUUGUCAAAUCUAUUCUCAAAUUUGUCGAAUUGGUUCUUAAUCCCAUCUUCUAAAACUAAGAAAAAUAAGAAAAAAAAAAAAAAAAGAACAAAGGAAUCAUAGGAGAUUACCUCAGAACAAUGGGUUGAUUCACCAGUUGAUUCUUCAUCACAAUCCAUUAGAAUAAACUAGGGCUUUGGAAGAAGAAGAAGAAGAGGAGAUCAGUGAACAGAGAAACGUGAUUUUUUUCACUAAGAAUAUGGGCGGCCCUUGUUUGCCCGCCCCAUAACAUGCAAGUGGGUGUUAAAAGCCUGCCCCAAAGGAGCGGGUGUUAAAAGCCCGCUUAACCAAAACGGUUCUCUGUUGCCCGCUCAAGUUUGGUAAACCAUUAGAGAAAACGAUUUUUGGUAGCAAAUAAAACACAAAAUGGGUAUCAAAUGUGCUUAGGUGGACCACCAAAACAAAAAAACCAUUAGGGAUGCCCUAAGCUUAAACAUCUGGGUCUAUUUGCUCAAAUUUUAGACAAAGUGCCAUUUGGGAUCAUUACUCAACGCCUAUGCUGUCAGAGGCGCCGCCUCAGCGCCGCUCAGCGCCGCCUAGGCGCUAAUUUCACACAGGUACGCCUCGCUCUACAGAAACUACCGCUUAAAACGCACUGGGCCGCUUGGGCGGCGCUCAGGCCCAGCGCUCAGAGAGAAG
rnacentral:lncRNA from 1 species